GUCUUAAUCCCUUUUAAAUCAGGGCAUCGGUCAAAC
rfam:Thiorhodospira sibirica ATCC 700588 ctg282, whole genome shotgun sequence.